rnacentral:lncRNA from 1 species
AUGUGUCAUAGGAUAAUUGAGCACAAUUUGCCUUCCCCUUUGAGGAUCAACAGUACACUUUUCCCAGUUGCCUGUAGGGUACAUGAAUACCUCUGGGAUUUCACAAGGAAUUUGCCGUCUGGAUCUAGACUCCUGCUCUGCACCAGGCACCUCCCACAGAAACUCAGCUCUGGCAUUGUACUGAUGUCAUCCUUGUCCCGGGACCUGGCUAUGACUCUGUGUCACACACUGUCACCACUACAAAACCCAGAGCUUAGCCACCUCCUUCUUGAUCCUGAUGAGAACCUGAUGUGAACCAGUGAUUCUGAAACCAUCCUUUAGCCUGUGUUCAUCAUCAUCCAGUAUAAGCCAAGCAAACCACUCUCUGGAGAAAGAGGUGACCUUAUCAGCCAUCCCAGUACUUUGCUCCUCAAAAGGCACCAUGGAACCCAGGAGGUGGACCUAAACCUCUCCCAGACCAGGUAACUCCAUGUGAACAAUACCAGGGACAAUCAGGCUCCCUACUGCUGGCUAUAGGUGACCUCCAACUUUAAGUCCUAUCCUGUUACCAUGGUCCUUCUCACCUGAGAAGUUCCUACCCUUGCUAGUGUUGACUCUAUGUCUCUUGGCAGUUCACCAGCCCUAGUAAUCUCCGCACUACUGUUGACAAGGUCUGUCUGGAAACUAUACCACAUGCCCCUAACAGGGUAUCUUAUAACACAGGUCAGACUGGAGACAAUGGGAACCAUGCUGUUGGCUAUUCACAUUGGUCAGUCCUGCUAAAUGACCACAGAUACCAACACUGAGGCUAGCAACCUUCUCCUGUCUCUUCUACUACAAGCAACACCCAUUCUGGGUAAGCUCGACUCUUUAGAUACCACUUGUGACUCAUAGAUGGUUCUAAACCCUCAGGGCCAACUCUGGCCUCAAAUCAGAUGAGACUGACUGUGAUUAAGUAGUGCCAUUAACCACAUAGAGCCACUGCCUCUUGAGAUUUAUGUAAGGAAUUGCCCAGAGAUAGUAUGUACCCAGUAUUACAACCAGGAUGCUUGUGAUGAGUGCAAUCAUAUGAAAAGUGCUGUAAUGCAGAGCUAUACCAACAAACUCUAUGGGAUUACAGUUAGAUAAAAUUAUAGCUCUUGCUAAUCCCUGACAAUAAUGACUAAUGUAAACCCUGCCAAAAUGUAUAUCUUUACAAAUGUUGGUUUCUUUUCUUAUCAGUUGUUAAUAUAACGUCUUUUCCUCUCUUUCCAGUACAAGUCCCAUUUAUUGAAGCUUACACUCAACGAAGUUCGUCUAAGUGACCAAGGACAAUUUACCAUGAAUUUCCUCCCUGGUUGGGAAUUUACUUUAUUUAUUGACUUAAUAAUAUUAUUGUUUCGUUUUUAUUUUUGCUGUACUAGGUCUUUGUUGCUGCACGGGCUUUUCUUUAGUUGUGGCAAGUGGGCCUAUAAUUCGUUGUAGUGCAGGGCUUCUCAUUAUGGUGACUCCUCUUAUUGUGGAGCUCGGGCUCUAGGGCAUGUGGGCUUCAUAGUUGUUGCUCAUGAGCUCAGUAGUUGCAGUUCCUGGGCUCCCGAGCACAGUCUUAAUAGUUGUGGUGCACAGACUUAGCUGCUCCACGCUACGUGGGGUAUUCCUAGACAGGGUUCAAAACCUUAAAAUAUUGGCAGGUGGAUUCUUUACCACUGAUCCACCAGGGAAGCCCCAUGGCCACUUAUAAUUUGUAUGUGUAUAUAUGUAUGCACACACAUGCACACACACACACACAGCAUACUUACUUAUUAGGAAAGGAAUGUAUACAACAUAAUAUCCAGGACAAGGCAUAUCUAAAGAGUCAGGAGCUUCAUCCAGUCUGGAAAUUCUUUUCUAGCCUGAUUGUCUUCCAAUAUCAACUUCAAGGUUUCCAUCACACUCAGUGGGAGUGGGCCUUUCAACAACUCCAAUGCUUACUGCCCACAGGAAACAAUCAUAGCCUUUGGGUGUGACAGCAAAGAAAAUUCUCCUGAAAACUGAAAAUUUUCAAAUCCCAUAGAGACAUCUAACCACUUUCUAUAUGAGAGUUUUUCCAUCCAAAUCGAUGCUACUUGUUUACAACUAUUAAAAAUUCAUCAGGCUUACCAAGAGCAUCAUUAAUAAGGACUUGGCAAGUAUUGGGAGGAAAUUGCAGCCCAAUUUUACUCUUCUGGGGAUCUUAAAACAUACCCAUCCUGUCUUACAGAACAAUAAUGAUAAGCCCAGUAGCAGAGCUAACCUGGGAGGAAAUCUAUUGAGUUAGUCACAUCACUGCCUCCCAAGAGGCCACCUCUGAGGCUAUAAAAGUAACAUAAACAGCUGCCAAAGACUUCGCUGUAGCUCAAACCGUUAAGAAUCUGCCUCCGAUUCAGGAGACCAGGGUUCGAUCCCUGGGUCAGGAAGAUCCUCUGGAGAAGGGAAUGGCGGUCCACUCCAGUAUUCUUGCCUGGACAAUCCCAUGGAUAUAGAAGCCUGGCAGGUUACAGUCCAUGGGGUUGCAAAGAGUCGGACAUGACUGAGUGACUAACACACACACACACACCCCACACACACACACAGCUGCCAAAGAAAAAUUCCCCAGAGGGACCUAAUGGGCCAAAUGUAUAAUAUAGUUGAUACCGAUUUUUGAAAUAACUUGGCCCACCAGGCUAUUUGUUAUGGGUACUUGGUAGGAAACUCAAACAAUAAUCACACCAAUCUGAACAAGAAGGAAUAUAGGCCUUCUUAUUGCCUUAGUCACGGCAAUACAUAAGAUGUCAAAUUUAACCACAUUCUGGACUUUCUUCUGCCAACCUGAUUUUAGUGCAUGUAGCAUAGCAUAUACCUCUCCUUGGCCAAGUUCCCCCAUAAAUCUCAUUUAUUAAAAUGAGCUUGUUCCCCUCCCCAUGAAUAUCCAGAAGCUAAUCUAUGUAAGUAUGUGAGCACUGGUGGGCUGAGUCUGUAACCAGUUUAUCUGACCCAGGUACCUAAUGCAAGGUGGAUAACAUGCAGUCUUGUUUGACUGUAAAGCCUUAUGCUUCUAUUCAUAUCACCAUGAAGUGUGUGUGUGUGUGUGUGUGUGUGUUAGUCAUUCAGUCGUGCCUGACUUUUUGCAACCCCAUGGACUGUAGCCCGCCAGGCUCCUCUGUGCAUGGGAUUCUACAGGCAAGAAUACAGGAGCGAGUUGCUAUUCCCUUCUCUAUGGACGUCGAAUAGUAGUAAGCUGUAAAAUCACCUUUAUAGCAACAAAGGCAGCAGAGAUAGCCCAGUGGGCCUGUAAGAGAACCAAGCGGCUUCCCCUAUCUCAAGCUUCCCCUUGCCUGAGCCUGGAAAAUAUUUCUCAUACUUGGUCUAGGCCCUAAAUUUCAUAUUUUUACGUAGCAGCUGAACUCUCCCAAGUAUUUGCCAACCCAAACCAUGCGAGCCAGAACUCUCCAAUGCCACAGACUUGUUCACAUGCAUACAUUCCUCUCACAUUUACUUACUCUCGAAACAUGCUCACACAUUCACUCACAAUUAUAUUCACAAAUUUACCCUCACACAUGAACAUGUUCAUAUAUUCACUCACACUUGAAUAAGCUCACAUUGAUACACAUACUCAUAUAUGCUCCCAUGCACACACACCCAUUCACUUACAUGUAUACAUUAAUACACACACAGGAACAUCCUCACAUUCACCACAUCUACUCACAUGCACACUGUCAUAAAUUCCUCCCACAAAUAUACUCACAUAUUUACAAUCCCACACAAACGAGCUUACUUAUACAUUAGCUUACGUGAACAAAUGUGCUAAAAUCCAUGCACAUGACCAUAAGUACAUUCAUAAAUGUGAACCCACAGACCCUUAAUCAUAGGAAUAUUAUUCACAUUAAUAAAAUGACAUAUGAAUUGGCAUGCUUAUUUAUUCAUUCAGGGUGACACUCAAACAUUCCCUGUCUCACACUAAUAUGCUCACACUCAUGGAGACACAUAUUUAUCACACACAUGUUCACAAAUUCGUCAUUUAUUUGCUAAGCUGUGUCUGACUCUUUUGCGACCCCAUGGUAGCCACGGGGGAAGCCCUCACAAAUUCAUGGACAUACAUAAUGGUGGCUUAGACAGUAAAGAAUCUGCCUUCAGUGCAGGAGAGGGCUUCCCUAGGGGCUUACCUGGUAAAGAAUCUGCCUGCGAUGCAGGAGACCUGGGUUUGAUCCAUGGAUCGGAAGAUCCCCUGGAGAAGGGAAUGGUACCCAUUCCAGUAUUCUUCCCUGAAGAAUUUCAUGGACAGAGGAGCCUGGCGGGCUACAGUCCAUGGGGUCGCAAAGAAUCGGACAUGACUGAGUGACUAACGCUUUUACUUUCUUCACUUUCAAUGCAGGAGACCCAGGUUUAAUCCCUGUGUCAGGAAGAUCCCAUGGUGAAGGGAAUGGCUACCCACACUAGUAUUCUUGCCUGGAGAGUUUCAUUGCCAGAGGAUCCUGGCAAGCCAUGGGGUUGCAAAGAUUCGGACGUGACUGAGCAACUAACACAGUUGAAACCUUCAUGUUCACAUAUGUGAGAGUGCUCAUUCACUUGCCAAAUAUGAUCAUGCACACAAAGUCAUUCACACAUUCUCACAUACAUUGACACAGUCACAUUUUCACUCAUGAACAUACUUGACUUAAACAUAGUUACACCCACAUGGUCAAACAUUCACUCACACACACAACAUGCUUACCAAUUCACUCACACAUAGAUACCCUUCAGUAAUUUGUACAUAAUUACAUCUUCAGUAACACUUGCACAGUGUUCUCAUAUGUAAAUAUACUCAUCAGUUAUUGAUGUACAUUUGCACACAUACACAAAUAUGCUAAAAAAUUCACUCAGUCAUACAUACUCACAAAAUGCAUGCGUUCAUAUACACAGACUCACAAUAACAAGCUCACAUGCUCACUUACAACACCAUGCUCACAAAGUCACUCACACAUAGAAACACAUACAUAAACACAUAUGACCACACAUCCACAUACACAAAUAUGCCUACACAUUCCUUUCUUCAUGCAAACUUGGUCACAUAUUCACUCCCUAAAAUGAAGAUGCCCACAGAUUCACUCACACACACUCAAAUAUGCUCAUAUGUAAAACUCACACCUUCACUUACUUGUACACAUUAACACAUCCACAGACAGACAUGCACUUAUUCACUUACCCCCAAAACAUGAUCACGCACCA